ACACAGAGAUAAACACAACUAUGUUUGCAAAAUUGUGGGUUCUCUGGUUUGGCUGAUUAGGAAUUAUUGUCAGGAUUAAACUCCAUUAAUAAUAUUAACCGUUAGAGUAUUCACAGCACUUCUGCCAUUAGAAUGUUACUGUGCUUUUCAAUUUACAUCUUUCAGUUCAAGUAACAUUCCUAUGGCAAUGGGUAAAAUGGUUGUAUAAGUGAAGUUCCAGUUAGGAGACAGAAAUCACACAGUAAUUUAAACAGGGAAAGUUAAACAUAAGGAAUUACUUACUAUAUAAUAUGGGGUUGGCUAGUAAUGCAAAAGGAAAACUAAAGUGUUUCUGAGUAGCAAAUAUAGGGCUGAUACCCAGCAUCCAAGAAAGAGGCAGCUUUGGAUGAUUUCUUCCCAAGGGACUGAGAUCCAAGUGCUUAUGGGAUGUUGAAGCUGGCUGAAGUGUUCCAAGCAGGGCCCACUGGAAACCCUCCUUUUGGGUGCUGCUGAAGCUGUGCAUGGGGAAGGGCUAAGUCUCAGAACUCCAAAUAAAGCUAAGGGGAAACCUGUUCACCUGGAAGUGCAGAUGAUGGCAACCUCUGAAAAGCUGCUUUAGUGAGUGCAAAAGGGAGCUGCUGAGUGCUGCUGGUCAAAAGGUGCCAUCAUGGCGGUCACAGGACUGAACAUAAGAACUAGGCAUCCAAGCAAAAACCUCUAGGGAAAGGCAAAGCGAAAACAGAAAGAGAAACCCCUACUACCUCCAGUGUCCUUCUAGCACCAUCUAUUGAUAAAGUUUAACAUUAUGUCCACUGGCACAGGAGAAACCAUCACGGUCCAGUAGCAGGCAGUGAAAAGUAAAUUUUGAGCUGAAAGACAUUAAAUUGAUGACUGGAAGAUUCAUCUUGUUUGUAUUUCAUAGAUUAGAAAAUUGAAUGUCAGAUUUUUGUGACUUUGUUAGACAAGUGAUCUAAAGAGCUUGGAAUUAAAAUAUGUGUGCGUUUAGUUUUCAUAUCUUGUGCUGCUCAUCUAGCAACAGUGCAGAGGAUAGAUGGUAGUGAUAGUGAGGCUAGGGUAGGAAUAAAUGGUAAAUUAUUACAAGAGGCCAGGAAGGAGAAAAAUGGGGGUUUCUGAAAUAUGUAACUACAUGGACAUUUCCUGUGUAACCUCUGAAUUUUUUAUCUGAGUUAAGCCAGUAAACAUGUAUAAGAAUUCACAGUUGUUUGUCUUACAUGGUGAAAGUAGUUGACUGGGAAAUGCCAAUAGACUCAUUUAGAAGAUGUAAUAUUUGUACAUGUAUACAAAGAAUACAGUUUACUCUGUUUAGAUAGUUGUGAAAUGCAAAAGUCUCAAGAACAAUUUCCCUAGUAGAACAAGCUGCUCCUGGUUUUCAAAGAUCUCCAAACUGCCUAGUAAAGAUAAUAACAUCUGAAUGGGUGAAGAUCCCAGCAGGUUUUUCAACAUCUGUUUGCCUUUAGGGAUUUUUUUUUUAAACCCUUCUUACCCUUCACAACUGCUGAGGAUUCUCUGUCUCUGUGCCUGUCUGAUUAACCAGAUACAGUAACUGUGGGUGAGCCCAUCACUGUCCAGGGUGCAUUAUGCAGGGUUCCCAGGAUGAGUUUCUCACGUCAAACCCUCAUGAGCCUGUGUUUCUGAUCUAAGAUAUAUAUCCAACUAUAUAUUACCUUUGUUCAUAAAUAAUAUAGACUUGGUAUAGAGGAGUCUUCUAGAAUCCAGAUUCUCACUUUGAAAGAUGUGCAAAGAUGUACAGAAUCUUUCUUAUAUUGAUUUUACUACCACACAACAUCCUCUUACUACACUUGGUUGUAGAACUUAGCUAAUGGACUGCCUUUCGUUUCUUCCACCACCCUCUCCCCGCCCCUGAUUUAGACUAAUGAACAGUGUAGAGCCCUGUUCAAGGGUAAGUGGGUGGUCCUGAGCACGCACCAUGCAGACCUGUAUCUACUGGGAGCAUAACUGACCACUGCUACAAUGCUAUGUUCAGAAAUCCAGAGCUGCACAUGCUCUGAGGCAUACUUCACACUGGCUGCGCCUGGUUGAGUGACUGAGCACAGCAGAGACAAAGGGAGGCUCAGCUCUGGAGACUGGGGACUCCUCUGAUGGCAGAUUUGGCCUUAGAACUCUGACACCCCUACCAAACCUUCCUUAAACUGUCCUGUGUCCAAGUCACUUCCAUCUAACCCAUUUCCUCUCUUAUCCACUUAUCUAGUGACUUAUAUAUUGAUCUGACAGUUCUUCCAUCCCUUCCUGGCUUUUUCUCCAUUUCUCCAUAGACAUUUCCCUAAAUUAAAUCUUUGGGCUUUUAAUCCUAUCUUGCAAUUGCUCCUGGGAGCCCUUGAACUAAGUCAUGGAUUCAAAUAAGCUGGUCAAAUGUGGGUUUGGCAUUUAUUGGUUACGUCGCCUGUGCCACUUACUUAAUUUCUAUGUUCUGCAGUUUAGUCAUAUAUAAUGUGGGAAUAAUAAUGCUUAUCUACUACAUGGGGUUACAAGGAACAAUGAAACUAUAAAAUAAAAACAUAUGCUGGCUGUUAUCAUGCCCUCAUGUUCAUAACACAGUGUACUCUAUGGAAACCUAGGCGAGAAAAUCCUGUAAGAUUUGUAAAAGAUGUUGUUUGACACAUUUUUGAGGCACCUCUUGAAUUCAUAUUUAAUGCAAAAAAAGGAAGCGACUGUAUUCAAGAAAGGUGAGAAAUGAAAGCAAAAAACAGGAGCAAAAUUCAUGCUUUCUAUAUAUUGUCAGCAUACUAAUUAACAUAGCAAAAUUUCCACAUGCAUAAUUUUAAAAAUUUACACAUUGUGCUGUAUUCAGCCCCCUUACAUGAAUAACAGGGAAUAACUUAACGGAAAUCAGAGGGACAUCAUUAAAGUCUGGGGAUAACCUGAAUGUAAAUGAGAUGUGUGAAGAGUAAAAGGAAAUAAUAAGCAGAUAUCUAAUAAAGCAACCAGCUUCUUGUGCAUAAUUUCUGUAAGUGCUAUUUACCAAAUGUAUUUGCAAAUGUUUAAUUUUUACAAUUAUUUUCUCAGUGGAAUUUCAGGGCGGACGUAAUGUCUCGAAACAAGUAUCCUAGAAUGCUAUCACAUGAUGUCACUCUAUGUUAUAUUUCAUACUUUAAAAAAGCAUUUUCUUACAAAUAAUCUUAAAUAUUUCUCACAAUUGUAUGAGAGAUAGAAGAACAAAUAUGCUGGAUAAACAAAUAAAUGAGUCUAUAGUGACCCUGUAGGGGAUACUUUGUUAAUUCUUUCAUAUAUAAUUUAGUGGGAUUCUAGAUCUGGUUAGGAAUUAGGUAAGUUCAGUCUCAGAAUUUCUAGACCUAUUCCUAUCUGUUCAAUACCACAUCAAUUGGAUCUUAGAUGGAACCUCUGAAACUUUCCCAAGUUGCUAUGCAACAGAAAUUACCCUGGGCUUUGUCAACAAAACUGGAAUCUGCAAGUUGGAUGUUUUCUGGGAUAUUUGUCCAAAGAUAUUUGACAUAGUGGCAAGUAUUGUUUCCAAUUAUUGAGAUCUUAUUUAACCAGCCUCUCUAAAAUCUAUAGCUAUUUGAUCUGUCUCAUUGUUCCCAUCGGGAGUCUGUCCAAGAACAAGCAGUGAGUGAACCGGGUGGAUUUUAGUCCCCACCCGACUCCCAAGUCAGUGAAAGUGGGUUUGAUUACACAGCUGAGGGUUUCUAGAGAGGAAAGCUAGCACAUUUAUAACAGAUGCAAACCCUUUCUCGAUUCUGCUGUACAACUGCCUUGAAAAUGAGUUGCCAUGGGCUUUUACUUACAAAAGAUAGCCUGUUUGCCUGUUUUUUUUUUUUUUUUUUUUUUUUUUUUUUUUUUGUGACUCCAAAGCAAAAUUUCUCUAAGGCUUUUGAAAAAACUCUUGCUUCCAUUUUAAUCUUCUAUUCUCUGAGUUUUGGUGAAAUAAAAACAUUAAAUAAGGUUAGGAAUAAAGACCUUAAAUAGAAACAAAUGCCACAGAAUUACAGGCAAUUUGUUUGCUUUUUAAUUUUAUUGAAUAAUAUUCUGUUCAGCUGAAAGAUACCUAUCUUUUACUUUGGCUCACCAGUUGUGGAAAAAAAGUGAAAAAAUAGUUAGAGACUCAGAACAGAAUGGUGUUUUCUUGAAUGCACUCUACAGAUGACCAGGACUAGAAGAAAACUAUUGUUUUACUCUUUCUCCUUUUUAAAUGUACUGAUCCAAUAACUGAUAGAAGUUAGCACUUUAGAUGAUUAAGUCAGUCUGCCUCUUGACUCUGUUUCUCUUGGAAAAGAAAGCAAUAAUUUUUUAAAAAUCUGGAAGUUAAUUUUAUUUAUUCUAACUUCACUUUUUCCUGUAUUUUGAUUUGACAUUUUUUUCUCAUUUUGCAGAUAUCUAUGCAUUGUCUAUUUUUCUUGUUAGAUAUCCUAGGUAUUAACUUUACUAGAUGAAAAAUAAAAUUGCCAGCAUAAGUGAAUUAGACAAACAUCCUCAACCUUUGUUUCUUUCUUAGCUGGUUUAUCAUCUUACUGAGACACAUGGGAAGGUACAUUUAAGCUGAAGAUCUGGCUCAUUAACCAUCUACUUCCAUAGUCUCCUUUCUGUGUAGUAAAUCUCUUGUUAAUGAGAUUGAUGGGUACUGAAAAAACAUUUAAUAAGUCCUUCAAUUUUGUAUUCAUUUGUUAGACAGCAAAGAGGCAUAAAAAGAACUGAGUGUUUUUAGAGCUAUAAGACCUGCAAGAAGUUCCUGUUAUCUAUCUCAUAAGGAAAUAGAAAUCCAAGGAUAUCAGGUAAUUUCCUCAGUGUCAUAGUUAGUGUAAGGAAAACCUGUUAAAAAUAUGACCUUGAAUGAAAUGCAUUCCCCACCCCUUAUAUCAAAGUUUACUUUGCUUGGGGAAAAACAAAUGAGUAUUCAAGUUUAUUUUAAAAUAUGCUUAAGUAAAGGUAAAAUGAGUACAUACGCUUUCAGCCGAAGUAAGUAAUUAUAUCUACAGGGAAACAAAACAUACUUUAAUUAUAUAGUACUCUCGUCAUGGAAUUCUCUUUUAGAGUAAAGUUUAGGAAAGGGCAAUAUGGUUGGAAAAAAUGUUCAUGUGAUAAUAGAAAAUGUAUCCGUUUGCAAAUGAGAAUUUGUAAGUCAGUUUCUCACUUUUUGGAAGGUUUGUUUUACACCUUGUACUGUCUGGAGGUGAUUCAUAAGCUUCCUUACAGUGCAAUUCCAUUUGGUAUACAAAAUGCAAAUUAGAGAAGAAAUAAAUCUAAAUAGUAGAUUGUUGUAAAAGAAGUUUAGGUAUAUUUUUUUCUCCAAGGACAAAUAUUCCACAUACUUGUUAGCAGAAAGCAGACAGAGCAUGUUAGAAAGACUGGUAAUUUUCCUAAUGAGUGCAUAAUCACUGAUAGAUGUUGCUCCAGUUUUUAAAAAUAUGCUGCCAUCUUAAACUUUUGCAUGGAUAUGUCAUUACUAAUCCUUUUACUAAGAGAUAAUACCAUGGCAACCCUUAUAUUUUGUAGAAUAAACAUUAAAUAAAAGAUAAAUAACAAGUGUUGUGCCAAAUAAUGCACGACAUACCCUGCAUUAAAGUCCCUGACUUAGAGAACUGGUAAAAAUAAAACUAUGUAAUAAGAGGGGUGUGGUAGAUACAUGGCCUCACAUUCUUUGCAUGAAGGUGGUCUCUUUAUUUUAUCUUUGACUGAAAACUCACCCUGUGACUUUCUUGGAGUAAUAGAAAGAGAUGGAAGUGACGCUGUACAACUUCUGCCUUUGUGCUCUUGGAAUGCUGCCCUGAGACUGACAUGUGAAAAGGCUGGUAUUACUGACUGGAGGAUGAAAUGUCACAUAGCAAAGAACCAAGAUGUUCCAGCCAAUGGGAAGUACAAACUGCCAGACACGAACUCCAAACAAGAUCUGCUGUAACAAAACCCUAAAUGGUUUUAAUAUUUCAAAACAAGUGACAGAAGAAAAGAGACUGUAGGUAGAUGCCAGGAAAGGAGAGAAGGAACGGCUGGAAGCUAUGUCACAUGUUCUGAACCAUUGUCAAAACAUUCACUUUCUGUGAUUCAAAAGAUAGAUAUAUAAAAUACCCACAUAGGUCAACUAAGAAGGCCUCUGGACAGAUAGUGAAGGUGCCCAUUAGCUUGUCCUAGCUGUGCAUGGUUUAUUGUGGGGAGCUAGGGAUGCGCUAAAGAAGGAACUGAUGGGAAAGCAAAUUUAGAAGAAUAAGAAUUCAUGGGACUGAUAGUGAAUUGGUAAAUAGAUUACCAAUUUGAACUUGCCCUAUAGGUUAAGGACAGAAAGUAAGCCAUGAGAACGCCUUAAACAUGGACUAUAGAAAAGAAAAGCAUUUUUUGAGAGCAGAACCAAGAACUCAGAAAAAAUGCCAUGAAUCUAGGAGAACAAUGGGACCACACAUGGGCCAUGAUCAAGGAAUAUCCUUUGCUUCCAGAGUUAGGAUAACUGCCCAUCAGUGAUGGGCUAGAUUUCAGAAUUGCUAUGAGCUAGCAAAUUCUCUGAUUUCCAUCCUUUAUACUGAGAUUAUGUGUUCACAUUAUUUCUAUUGGGAUUACUCUGUUCCUAUUUUACCAGUGUGUAUUAGAUGAAUGGAUGGGUGAGUAUGUGUAUGUGUGGUACAUCAGUUUCAUUUUAGUGUAAAGAUCUCUGGAGAAGAUACAGAUAGUUACACUUUGGAUUUUGAACCCAGUGCUACUUAUGGGACCCUAAAGACUUUUAGGGUCCUUGAGAAAAGGUAAAUAUAUUUCGCAUGUGGGAGGAUUUAAAAUAAUUAUGACCAGAUGAUGGACUGUGAUAGAUAUAAUACAGCCAUGGCUUCUUCCAUCAAGAAUUAGAAUCUCCUGGAGUACCCUUCAUGGCUUAGUUGUUAAUAAACCCGAGUAUCUUCAGGAUGUGGGUUCGGUCCCUGGCCUCGCUCAGUGGGUUAAGGAUCUGACAUUGCUCUGAGUUGUGGUGCAGGUUGCAAAGGUGGCUUGGAUCCCAUGUUGCUGUGGCUGUGGUGUAUGCUGGAUUUGACCUCUAGCCUGGAAACCUCCAUAUGCC
rnacentral:lncRNA from 1 species